rnacentral:rRNA from 1 species
AUUGAACGCUGGCGGCAUGCCUUACACAUGCAAGUCGAACGGUAACGGGCCUUCGGGUGCCGACGAGUGGCGAACGGGUGAGUAAUGUAUCGGAACGUACCUUUCAGUGGGGGAUAACGUAGCGAAAGUUACGCUAAUACCGCAUAUUCUGUGAGCAGGAAAGCAGGGGAUCGCAAGACCUUGCGCUGAUUGAGCGGCCGAUAUCAGAUUAGCUAGUUGGUGAGGUAAAGGCUCACCAAGGCGACGAUCUGUAGCGGGUCUGAGAGGAUGAUCCGCCACACUGGAACUGAGACACGGUCCAGACUCCUACGGGAGGCAGCAGUGGGGAAUUUUGGACAAUGGGGGCAACCCUGAUCCAGCCAUGCCGCGUGAGUGAAGAAGGCCUUCGGGUUGUAAAGCUCUUUCGGCCGGGAAGAAAUCGUAUGGGUUAAUACCCUGUGCGGAUGACGGACCGGCAUAAGAAGCACCGGCUAACUACGUGCCAGCCGCCGCAGUAAAAC